rnacentral:lncRNA from 1 species
AUUUUGCUUGUCUCUAAAUUUCAUUUCCCUCUAUCCAAUUCACCCUCAAAUACUCAAAGUACUUCAUUUCCUCUCAAUUCGAGCAUUGUUGCCCCCCACUCUGUCUCUCUCAAAUAGAAGCCCUAAAAAGAUAAAUCAUUAUCAGAUGGAAAAAAAAGGCCAUUCACUCUGCCUCCCGUCUCCCAUUGCCGCCGCUCCUCGUAGAAGAAUCAGAUUACAAAAAAUUUCGAUCUUACAUUGUCGCUGUACCUCAUACUUCUAUUUAGCGACCAACAUUUACGUGGUUGCUAUACCUCUUGGCAGGAUAAACCCCGCCUACUUUUUUUAACUCUUCCAGCGACCAACGUUUAUGUGGUCGCUAUACCUCUUGGCGGGAUGAACCCUGCCUAAUUUUUUCUCUCUUUCAGCACCCAAAGUGGUGGUCGCUGUAUAUAUAUAACCCUUCAGCGACCAGAUAUUGGUCGCUUUACAGCUUAGCGGGAUGAGCCCUCUAAUUUUUUUAACUCGUCUAGCGACUAAACUUGUGGUUGCUGCAUAUAUAAUCCUCCAGCGACCAAUAACUGGUAGCUGGUUGUAUAAUCUGCAAAAUUGGAGCUUGACUUGUUUUCAUAGACUGUAUUUGUAGAUUGAUGAAAUGGUGUAGAAAGUACUUGGAACUCAUAAUUCUGACGAAGUCUCGAUUUGUCAUUAAUUAAGAGUAGAUGUUCAGUAUAGGAUUUUUGUGUUUCAGGUGUAGCAAAGUUGCCUACCUCGAUAAUGAUGUUGGGCAGAUGGAAUUUAUCUCCUCCUGGUCUUCUAUCGCUUAGUAUGGUUGACAAAGCAACUCUAGGUACAUUUGCAAAUGAUGUUUACCACUUUAUUGUCUUUCUCUCCCUCUACUUUUUUUAUUUUUCUGUACUCAGUGAACUAAAUCGACCAACUGCACCCGACCGAACUUGAUUCGGUUGUGUUGGGUUAGGUUUAAAUAAGGAAUUAAGUUGGGACAGGAUUUGUACUGGCAACUUCACAAGUAUAUUUUGUCUCUUGAAAAUAGAGGUACCAAGGUAAUGUAUUGGAUUGCCUGGUUGUAGGAGGGUUAUCUAUUGCUAUGCUGUUUGUCACUGCCAUACGCAGAAAGAACUUUCAUUAUAUAUAUGUUGCUGUCUAGGAAAUUGAGAGAUGAACUGGAAGGUUGCUUCCCUCUAGGCAGGUAAUGUAUUAAAAAGUAUUGUACGUUAAUAUUUGGAUGAUGAACACUUGGUGAAUAUUGAGCUAUCAACAUUGUUAUAAGAUAAUAUAUAUAUAUAUAUAUAUAUAUAUAUAUAUAUGUGUGUAACUCUAUUAGUUGGGCCUUUGUCAUACGCAUUGCAAAAAGCUGAAAACACAAGCAAAACAAAGGGUUGCCGAUCUGGGGAAAAAGCAGAAAUAGACACACCCAAAGUUACCAAACCUUCACCAAUUCUAAGCUCCUUCUCUCUAUCACAUACGCCGGCUCUACUAUUGUCGGGUAUUUUUCUCCUCUCUUCUUCUACUUUAUCCUGAAUUUCAAGAACGUCUGAAGUAACAUUCAAGUUCCUCUGCCUCUUCAUCUAAAACUGACCAAAACUUUGGUUGCUACAGUGUUUGACGCCCAGUUGCCCAUAGCCGACAAAUAUAGAAGUACUGAUCAGCGCCACCAGAAUAUUCUUGAGUUCGAUUUUGCUGAAUAACUGAGUUUAGUUAUAUUUUCUCUUGAAAAUAGAGAGACUCAUGUAAUGGUCAUAUUUUUAAAUUUUCAUAUCUUAUUUUCUGUUUUGAGGAUUCAAAUGUUAGUAUAAAUUGUUUAGUGAGGGGAAUAUUGAAUGCAGUUGAGCCUUUAAGCCAUGUGAGGUGAUUGACCUGUUUGACAGUCAUUGCAGUCCAGAUUAAUCCUCAUUAAGUUCAUUUUUGUCGUAAACAAGUGUCUAAUAAAAAGAUUCUUUGAACAUUAUUUCAUGAAAUUUUGCUAACUUUAUUAUAUGAUAAUAAUAAAUUGCACAAUUGUUUGUACACACAAGUUUCUCCUAUACCAAUAAGCUUUAUGGAUUUUGAUGUCAUUUUUAUUAUUUUUUAUUAGUUACCGUACUUUGUGCAUGUUUGGCAAAAGCAUAGCUUAUGAUUUAAGCUGUCAAACAUACUUUUACUAUCCACCUCUUAUCACACAAUAAGACCAGAAAUUUACAAUUAUUUGUAGGCACUUCAAGCAUCUACUUUGUCAAUAUCCGAAAGAGAUGUAGAGCAUUCUCUACAAAAGAAUUAAAAGUAACUAUCUACUGAAAUAAAUGAUUUUUAGAUUAUUUUUCAGGUUAAAUUAUUUUAGUAAUGGAGCAAUCAGAGUCUCUGUCAGAAGUGCAUUCCUUGAGUCAAAAAAAUUUAUGAUUUGCUGCUCCAUAUUUUUGCAAUCAGAAUCAAAUUUUUAAUGGAGCAAUCAGACUUUCUUUAACAAAAUUUUUAAUGUAUUUAUAUAUAAGUUAUGCAUAUCAUUAUCAGUUCUAAUGAUUGAUGCUCCAUAUUUUUGCUUUUCAUCUUCUCAUUGUUGUUUUCUUAAUGCAUAUAUAGAUGCCGCCAAAAAGAAUGUUUAAGCACGUGCUACCCAUAGCAUCUUCUACUCCUCCAAGCUCGAGCAAUCGAAGCCCAUCUCCUCAUGGACAAGGGCAGCAGUCUAAUCCAUCAGUUUCUCCUGUUUCGAUACCUUCAACUGCUCAUUUCGGUGUUAACACGACAACUUAAUCCAGUGUAGAUCCUACAACUCAAUGUACCCCUGGCCAGGACGCA